UUCACAUACUUUCACAUUAGAUGAAAGCUAAGCACACCCGCGUUGAUGAGGUGAAUCGUUCUAUUCGGCAGCGUGAGGAUUUGUCCAGCGGCCUUUGUGGUGUGGCGCUUCGGUGUCCGCAUCCUCCGGGUCGUCGGGCUUCGAUGAUCGCUCGGUAACACGAAU
rnacentral:snoRNA from 1 species